rnacentral:rRNA from 2 species
UUAAAUUGAAGAGUUUGAUCAUGGCUCAGAUUGAACGCUGGCGGCAGGCCUAACACAUGCAAGUCGAACGGUAACAGGAAACAGCUUGCUGUUUCGCUGACGAGUG